UGGGGAAUAUUGCACAAUGGGGGAAACCCUGAUGCAGCGACGCCGCGUGAAGGAAGAAGGUCUUCGGAUUGUAAACUUCUUUGAUUGGGGACGAAAUAUGACGGUACCCAAGGAACAAGCCACGGCUAACUACGUGCCAGCAGCCGCGGUAAUACGUAGGUGGCAAGCGUUGUCCGGAAUUACUGGGUGUAAAGGGCGUGUAGGCGGGAGUGUAAGUCAGAUGUGAAAACCCGGAGCUCAACUUCGGGAUUGCAUCUGAAACUAUGCUUCUUGAGUGCUGGAGAGGAAAGCGGAAUUCCUAGUGUAGCGGUGAAAUGCGUAGAUAUUAGGAGGAACACCAGUGGCGAAGGCGGCUUUCUGGACAGUAACUGACGCUGAGGCGCGAAAGCGUGGGGAGCGAACAGG
rnacentral:rRNA from 1 species